UGGAGUGUGACAAUGGUGUUUGUGUCCACAAUAUCAAACGCCAUUAUCACACUAAAUA
rnacentral:pre_miRNA from 1 species